AUGGCCUGUGGGCUGAGCUGGCUUCUCUUGGUGGCUGUGUUAGGAGGGGUCCAGUGUGAGGUGCAGCUGGUGGAGUCUGGGGGAGACUUGGUGCAGCCCGGGGGGUCCCUGAAAAUCUCCUGUGCAGCCUCUGGAUUCACCUUCAGUGACUACUGGAUGAACCGGGUCCGCCAGGCUCCAGGGAAGGGCCUAGAGUGGGUCUCAUGCAUAAGUAGUGAUAGUAGUAUUACCAGGUAUGCCGACUCUGUGAAGGGCCGAUUCACCAUCUCCAGAGAGAACAGCAAGAACACGCUCUCUCUGAAAAUGAACAGCCUGAGGGAGGAGGACAGGGCCCUGUACUACUGUGCGGGAGACACAGUGAGGGGAAGCUUCAUGGUAUUAUUUAAAUUCUAUCCCCAAGGGACAUCCCUGGUCUCAGUGAGGCCCCGUCAACACCAGAAUCCACAGUUAUUCCUGCCACCGACCUCUGGCUCUCCCAGUCCCACUGAGAAAACAGCACAGGCUUUGUGGCUGCCAGAAGUUACUAGAGCCACAGACCUAGCUGAAUAG